rnacentral:snRNA from 1 species
AUCGCUUCUCAGCCUUUUGGCUAAGAUCAAGUGUAAGAAUGUGCUAGAAAAUUCACUUUGGGCUUUCUAUAAUUCAGAGAGAAUUAGAGAAAGCAACUUUUGGGACCAAAUCAUUUUCUUAUUACAAGAAGGGAUAGUCUUAAGAGAUAAACCUUCUUUUUGUAAAACUCU